AGGGUGUAAACGCUGCCGACUUGGUGUUGGAGGCCCUUCGGGGGCGAUUCAGUGCCGGAGAGAAGUUGUUAAGUCGGCCACUUGGGGAGUACGUCCGCAAGGAUGAAACUUAAAGGAAUUGGCGGGGGGAGGCACCGCAACGGGAGGAGCGUGCGGUUUAAUUGGAUUCAACACCGGAAAACUACACCAAGGGCGGACUGUUACAUGAAAGACCAGGCUAAUGACCUUGCUUGAUUUUCUAGAGAGGAGGUGCAUGGCGUCAGUGACU
rnacentral:rRNA from 1 species